rnacentral:rRNA from 1 species
AACGCUAGCUACAGGCUUAACACAUGCAAGUCGAGGGGCAGCAUAAAACUAGCUUGCUAGUUUUGAUGGCGACCGGCGCACGGGUGAGUAACGCGUAUCCGACCUACCCAUAACUCGGGCACAGCCGCUCGAAAGAGCGAUUGAUUCCCGAUAUGUCUUUAGAGUAGAUCUAAUGAUGAAAGAUUCAUCGGUUAUGGAUGGGGAUGCGUAAGAUUAGGUAGUAGGCGGGGUAACGGCCCACCUAGCCGACGAUCUUUAGGGGUUCUGAGAGGAAGGUCCCCCACACUGGUACUGAGACACGGACCAGACUCCUACGGGAGGCAGCAGUGAGGAAUAUUGGUCAAUGGGCGGAAGCCUGAACCAGCCAAGUAGCGUGAAGGAUUACAGCCCUACGGGUUUUAAACUUCUUUUAUAUGAGAGUAAUGUGCACUACGUGUAGUGUAUUGCAAGUAUCAUAUGAAUAAGCAUCGGCUAACUCCGUGCCAGCAGCCGCGGUAAUACGGAGGAUGCGAGCGUUAUCCGGAUUUAUUGGGUUUAAAGGGAGCGUAGGCGGGAUAUUAAGUCAGUCGUCAAAGCCUGUGGCUCAACCACAGCCCGCGAUUGAUACUGGUAACCUUGAGUGCGGAUGAGGUGGAUGGAAUUCGUGGUGUAGCGGUGAAAUGCUUAGAUAUCACGAAGAACUCCGAUUG